UACAGAGGGGGCAAGCGUUUGUUCGGAAUUACUGGGCGUAAAGGGCGCGUAGGCGGCCUGCUAAGUCGGAUGUGAAAUCCCUCGGCUCAACCGAGGAACUGCAUCCGAUACUGGCGGGCUUGAAUCCGGGAGAGGGAUGUGGAAUUCCAGGUGUAGCGGUGAAAUGCGUAGAUAUCUGGAGGAACACCGGUGGCGAAGGCGGCAUCCUGGACCGGUAUUGACGCUGAGGCGCGAAAGCUAGGGGAGCAAACGGGGA
rnacentral:rRNA from 1 species